rnacentral:pre_miRNA from 1 species
CUUGUACUCCCUCCGUCUGAAAAUACUUGUCAUUGAAAUGGAUGUAUCUAGAUGUAUUUUAGUUCUAGACACAUCCAUUUUGAAGACAAGUAAUUCCGGACGGAGGGAGUACUUG